UGGAAGCUGUUCUUUGGAUGUCAGAUGUUUGGGUUUCCUGCUUGCUUCCCCCACCCCCACCCCCCAGUUUUGAGCCUCACUGAAUCUCAGUUAAUACCAGCUUCUGGCCUCCCCGUCUACCCUAGGCUACACUGUCCAUCUUCCAAUGCAACCAACGUCAUAGAGGCCUUUUAUGCACCGUUUAGGAUUCAGAACGAGCAAGAAGAUUCAUGUGUAAUAAAAGACCAGCUCACCAAGACUACAGGGUGCAAGUCCUGCAUCAUGCAGAGAAACCUUUGGCUCUUGAUCAUCUUCUCACCCUGAAUAGCAAGAUCCUGCUUGACCAAGUAUCACUGUUUAUUUAAGG
rnacentral:lncRNA from 1 species